UCCUGCCGGACCUGACUGCUAUCGGAUUGAUACUAAGCCAUGCGAGUCUUUGUAGUAAUACAAGGCAGACGGCUCAGUAACACGUAGUCAACCUACCCUAUGGACAAGAAUAAUCUCGGGAAACUGGGCAUAAUUCUUGAUAGAUCAUAAUGCCUGGAAUGGUUUAUGGUUAAAAUGAUUCGUCGCCAUAGGAUGGGACUGCGGCCUAUCAGCUUGUUGGUGAGGUAAUGGCCCACCAAGGCGAUUACAGGUACGGGCUCUGAGAGGAGAAGCCCGGAGAUGGGUACUGAGACACGGACCCAGGCCCUAUGGGGCGCAGCAGGCGAGAAAACUUUGCAAUGUGCGAAAGCACGACAAGGUUAAUCCGAGUGAUUUCUGCUAAAGAAAUCUUUUGCCAGUCAUAAAACCACUGGUGAAUAAGGGGUGGGCAAGUUCUGGUGUCAGCCGCCGCGGUAAAACCAGCACCUCAAGUGGUCAGGAUGAUUAUUGGGCCUAAAGCAUCCGUAGCCGGCUUUGUUAGUUUUCGGUUAAAUCCAUGUGCUCAACGCAUGGGCUGCCGAAAAUACUGCAUGGCUAGGGAGUGGGAGAGGUAGACGGUACUCAGUAGGAAGGGGUAAAAUCCUUUGAUCUAUUGAUGACCACCUGUGGCGAAGGCGGUUUACCAGAACACGUUCGACGGUGAGGGAUGAAAGCUGGGGGAGCAAACCGGAUUAGAUACCCGGGUAGUCCCAGCUGUAAACGAUGCAGACUCGAUGAUGCAUUGGCAUAAUAGCCAGUGCAGUGUCGCAGGGAAGCCGUUAAGUCUGCCGCCUGGGAAGUACGUACGCAAGUAUGAAACUUAAAGGAAUUGGCGGGGGAGCACCACAAAGGGUGAAGCCUGCGGUUCA
rnacentral:rRNA from 1 species